AUCUUCAUUCUGCUUUUUAUUCUGUUUUUUUUUUUAAUAGGAUUUCUUGUACAAGCAAGGAUAACCUGUGUAGAUUACCAAAAUGGAAACAUCCUGAAGCUGCUUUGAAAUCCCAGUAAAUUAAGUGGACUCAGAUUUGACAGACAGGGAAACCGGUCCAAGGACAAUUUGUGACGAAGUCGUUCCCCUACUUUGCCAUCUGACGACUAUGAAGCAUUUUACUCUGCCUUGCCCUUUCUUCAUAAAGAUUCUGCCUUGGAAAUAGCUGACCAUGUUCUGAAUGCCCCUCAAUCGUGAGAUCAACUGAAGUUUUCUUUCUCUAAGGUGUGGGCACUGAAUAUUGUGUUUCCACACUAAGAAAGGUG
rnacentral:lncRNA from 1 species